rnacentral:ncRNA from 1 species
GCCGGACCCCGCUCAUGCAGGGUGGCUCGGCCCGGCGCCUAUCCCCGGGAUAACC